rnacentral:tRNA from 1 species
GCCUGGGUGGCUCAGUUGGUUAAGUGCCUGACUUUGGCUCAGGUCAUGAUUUCAUGGUUCGUGAGUUCGAGCCCCACAUUGGGCU